rnacentral:rRNA from 1 species
GGGUACACGAGCGGCGAACGGGUGAGUAACACGUGGGUGAUCUGCCCUGCACUCUGGGAUAAGCUUGGGAAACUGGGUCUAAUACCGGAUAUGACCACAGCAUGCAUGUGUUGUGGUGGAAAGAUUUAUCGGUGCAGGAUGGGCCCGCGGCCUAUCAGCUUGUUGGUGGGGUAAUGGCCUACCAAGGCGACGACGGGUAGCCGACCUGAGAGGGUGACCGGCCACACUGGGACUGAGACACGGCCCAGACUCCUACGGGAGGCAGCAGUGGGGAAUAUUGCACAAUGGGCGGAAGCCUGAUGCAGCGACGCCGCGUGAGGGAUGAAGGCCUUCGGGUUGUAAACCUCUUUCAGCAGGGACGAAGCGUGAGUGACGGUACCUGCAGAAGAAGCACCGGCUAACUACGUGCCAGCAGCCGCGGUAAUACGUAGGGUGCGAGCGUUGUCCGGAAUUACUGGGCGUAAAGAGUUCGUAGGCGGUUUGUCGCGUCGUUUGUGAAAACCCGGGGCUCAACUUCGGGCUUGCAGGCGAUACGGGCAGACUUGAGUGUUUCAGGGGAGACUGGAAUUCCUGGUGUAGCGGUGAAAUGCGCAGAUAUCAGGAGGAACACCGGUGGCGAAGGCGGGUCUCUGGGAAACAACUGACGCUGAGGAACGAAAGCG